GCUUCAUCAAGUUCUAGCAGCACAUGUUAGCCACUCCUUGAUGCUUUUCUUAAGCUCAUUGCAGGACAAACGGGCAAUAUCAUGGUCAGGAUGCCAAAAGAGUGGGGCAGCAUGGUACUGCCAGUGUUGAAUGAACUCUAGCAUUUAGCACAUGGUUGCCAGCUGGAUCAGAUUGUCUGUGAUCUUGCAGUUCAUCACCAGGAUGCUGAUCAUCUCAUCUUAACAUGAGGUUCUUUCUGAUUUCUUUCCAGAAUUAUCCAGACACCACCUCACACAGUCUUGGAAUUUCUUUGUCUUUGUUUCCCAGAAUUUGGAAGAGUUCAUCUAGGAUCUCUGGAAGAUGGCUGCCUUGAUUCUACUGGAAAGAGAUCAUCUGCAGAAAAGUACAAAAGAGAAGAGCACAUUAAAAUUUGUUUAAAACCAACCCCAUAGUUUAAGCAGAAAAAAAUACUAAAAUUUAUAUUCUAUUGAUGUCAUUAGCACCCUAGAUAUUAUAUAGAGAGUGUGAGUGGAAAAGAGAAGUUUUGGUAAUGUCAUCAUGUAUUUUUAUGUGAUAAACUAAUGAUUUUUAUUUUAUAGCAUAGACUUAGAUUGUCUCACUGUGACCCACAUACUUUGUGCUAAAAAACAAAGGAAAUAAAACACUAUCUCUAAUUAAUUUCUCUUAAAAA
rnacentral:lncRNA from 13 species